ensembl:lncRNA
UUGCGCCACCUCUCCCCCACAAGUAGACACCCUAUAGGCAAACGCAUGCAUAUAUUACCCUUUUUUUUUUUUUUUUACACACCUCCCAGCAAUGCAGCCGUCACCAGCAUCGCACAGACUGGCACUGGAACACACGUUGAAGGAGGCAGAGAAGGCAGCUCUAGACAAACAGGGAUUACAAUCUCUGCUGGUGAAGAAACUGACACGGACUACAAAAGCCUCCAGGUGCAGCAACAGAAACAGGGGGCAAUGCAGCCGUCACCAGCAUCGCACAGACUGGCACUGGAACACACGUUGAAGAAGGCAGAGAAGGCGGCUCUAGACAAACAGGGAUUACAAUCUCUGCUGGUGAAGAAACUGACACGGACUACAAAAGCCUCCAGGUGCAGCAACAGAGACAGGGGGGGUUAAGACUGAGCUUCAUCUAUACCGGGCAACUUUCUGUAUUGUCUUUCAGUGUUGAUGUGAUUGUGUAUGUUGUUGUCUCUACCACUCCGAAUAGUUGAG